rnacentral:rRNA from 1 species
CUUUUCUUGUUAGUUUUUGAAGUAUGGCCUGCCCGCUGACGUUUUGGAGUUGAAGGGCCGCGGUAUUUUGACCGUGCAAAGGUAGCAUAAUCAUUAGUUCUUUAAUUGUGAUCUGGUAUGAAUGGCUUGACGAGACAUUAGCUGUCUUAGAGGUAUUAAUUUGUUGAAUUUGGAGUUUGAGUUAAAAUUCUUAAAUGUUUUUAUGGGACGAGAAGACCCUAUAGAGUUUUACAGAUUUCUUAUUUUUUUUUAAUUGUUUAGUUUUAAUUUUUAUUAAGUAGGAAAGGUUUGUUUUGUUGGGGUGAUAGGAGGAAUAUUGUUUAACUCCUCUUUGUUUUUGUAUAUUUGUAUAUAUUUCUUUUGAUCCAUGUAUUUUGAUUAUAAGAUUAAAUUACC